GUGGGGAAUAUUGGGCAAUGGGCGAAAGCCUGACCCAGCAACGCCGCGUGAGGGAAGAAGGUUUUCGGAUUGUAAACCUCUGUCCUUGGUGACGAAGGAAGUGACGGUAACCAAGGAGGAAGCCCCGGCUAACUACGUGCCAGCAGUCGCGGUAAUACGUAGGGGGCAAGCGUUGUCCGGAAUGACUGGGCGUAAAGGGCGUGUAGGCGGCCGAUUAAGUCUGGAGUGAAAGUCCUGCUUUCAAGGUGGGAAUUGCUUUGGAGACUGGUUGGCUUGAGUGCGGAAGAGGUAAGUGGAAUUCCCAGUGUAGCGGUGAAAUGCGUAGAGAUUGGGAGGAACACCAGUGGCGAAGGCGACUUACUGGGCCGUAACUGACGCUGAGGCGCGAAAGCGUGGGGAGCGAACAGGAUUAGAAACCCGAGUAGUCC
rnacentral:rRNA from 1 species